rnacentral:pre_miRNA from 1 species
CACGGCAACCGUCUCCAGGGCAACCGUGGCUUUAGAUUGUUACUGUGCGGACGUGGGUUUGGUAACAGUCUACAGCCAUGGUUGGUCCGGCGGACGCAA